CCUACGGGAGGCAGCAGUGGGGAAUAUUGCGCAAUGGGCGAAAGCCUGACGCAGCGACGCCGCGUGAGGGAUGAAGGUCUUCGGAUCGUAAACCUCUGUCAGCAGGGAAGAACGGUCACUGUGCUAAUCAGCAGUGAAUUGACGGUACCUGCAAAGGAAGCACCGGCUAACUCCGUGCCAGCAGCCGCGGUAAUACGGAGGGUGCGAGCGUUAAUCGGAAUUACUGGGCGUAAAGCGCUCGUAGGCGGUAUGUCAAGUCAAGGGUGAAAUCCCCGCGCUCAACGUGGGAACUGCCUUUGAAACUGGCAAACUGGGGUGUGUGAGAGGAUAGUGGAAUUCCGGGUGUAGGAGUGAAAUCCGUAGAUAUCUGGAGGAACAUCGGUGGCGAAGGCGACUAUCUGGCACAUAACUGACGCUGAGGGGCGAAAGCGUGGGUAGCAAACAGGAUUAGAUACCCUGUAGUC
rnacentral:rRNA from 1 species